UAAAAUUGAAGCUCCUCCUUGACAUCCAUUGCUGCUCCACGGAGAACAUGCUUACCGAGAUGAAUACGGUAUGCCUGCAGAACUUGUUUAACUUGAAGAUCGUGGUCAUCUGGCGAGCAUGUUCUCAACUGAGUGGCACCGCACUUCGUCAUGGAAGAGGUUCGAUUCUACAAAAAAGGGGACGUGGUCACAAUGUUCGUAUCCACUCUUUCUCGUAGAAUCGGACCUCCUCCUUGACAUACGUUGCUGCUCGAUGGAGAACAUUCUCGCCGAGAUGAACAUGGUAUGCAAGUUCAACAAGUAUGGAUUUGAAAAACCAUAUUGAAUUUGACAAGAUAAACCGUCUAGAUAAGGUAGCAUCAUUCUUAAACCACUACAAGGAUACAUACUAUAUAUGACACAUCAAUCUCCC
rnacentral:lncRNA from 1 species